UUCUAAGUUUAUAUGAAUAUUCAGUAAUAAUAGCAUCAAAAUAUUGAUAAAUGUGGAUUAAUCUUACUCAAGGAAUAUACUGUUACGGUAAUGACCCUCACUAAAGCCGUAUUCAACCAUUAAGUGAAGGUAUCUUAGAGAGAUAAUUUUAUGAUUUCGAAGUCCAACAUCCCAUCCAACUCAUACAGCAUGCAAUCAUUUCCAUCUAUUGCUGAAUCUCGAACACUAUGAAGUUGCAUCAUUCAAUAUUACAAAGCAAACUGUAACAGCUUUCACACAAGGACGUCUUCAAAGAACAUAAGUUUGCAAUUGAACUAAUAAUGUGGAUGUAUAAAGCUUUACUGAAUUUACUUGUGAAUAUCAACUAUUUGCUAAAAAGAAGAAUGACAAAUUUAGAUGAUGAAAUAGCUUUAGAAUAAGAAAAUUUUUCAAUACAAAAAUAAAGUAAAAC